CGCUGGCGGCAUGCCUUACACAUGCAAGUCGGAACGGCAGCGACGGGAGCAAUCCUGGUGGCGAGUGGCGAACGGGUGAGUAAUAUAUCGGAACGUGCCCAGUCGUGGGGGAUAACGUAGCGAAAGCUACGCUAAUACCGCAUACGAUCUAUGGAUGAAAGCGGGGGAUCGCAAGACCUCGCGCGAUUGGAGCGGCCGAUAUCAGAUUAGGUAGUUGGUGAGGUAAAGGCUCACCAAGCCGACGAUCUGUAGCUGGUCUGAGAGGACGACCAGCCACACUGGGACUGAGACACGGCCCAGACUCCUACGGGAGGCAGCAGUGGGGAAUUUUGGACAAUGGGCGCAAGCCUGAUCCAGCAAUGCCGCGUGCAGGAUGAAGGCCUUCGGGUUGUAAACUGCUUUUGUACGGAACGAAACGGUGAGCUCUAAUACAGUUUGCUAAUGACGGUACCGUAAGAAUAAGCACCGGCUAACUACGUG
rnacentral:rRNA from 1 species